GUGGAUUAGAUACCCUGGUAGUCCAUGCCGUAAACGUUGGGCACUAGGUGUGGGGGACAUUCCACGUUUUCCGCGCCGUAGCUAACGCAUUAAGUGCCCCGCCUGGGGAGUACGGCCGCAAGGCUAAAACUCAAAGGAAUUGACGGGGGCCCGCACAAGCGGCGGAGCAUGCGGAUUAAUUCGAUGCAACGCGAAGAACCUUACCAAGGCUUGACAUGAACCGGACCGCUGCAGAAAUGUGGUUUCCCCUUUGGGGCUGGUUUACAGGUGGUGCACGGUCGUCGCCAGCU
rnacentral:rRNA from 1 species